UACGUAGGGUGCAAGCGUUGUCCGGAAUUAUUGGGCGUAAAGAGCUCGUAGGCGGUUUGUCACGUCGGAUGUGAAAACCCGAGGCUUAACCUCGGGCCUGCAUUCGAUACGGGCUGACUAGAGUUCGGUAGGGGAGACUGGAAUUCCUGGUGUAGCGGUGAAAUGCGCAGAUAUCAGGAGGAACACCGGUGGCGAAGGCGGGUCUCUGGGCAACAACUGACGCUGAGGAGCGAAAGCGUGGGGAGCGAACAGG
rnacentral:rRNA from 1 species